rnacentral:rRNA from 1 species
AGAGUUUGAUCCUGGCUUAGGAUGAACGCUGGCGGCAUGCUUAACACAUGCACGUAGGACGGGAAGUGGUGUUUCUAGUGGCAGACAGGUGAGUAAGGCGUAAGAACCUGCCCUUGGGAGGGGAACAACAACUAGAAACGGUUGAUAAUACCACGUAGGCUGAGGAGCAAAAGAAGGAAUCCGCCGAGGAGGGGCCCGCGUCUUAUUAGCUAGUUCAUGAGGUAAAAGCUUACCAAGGCGAUGAGUAGUAACUAGUCCGAGAGGAUGAUUAGUCACACUGGGACUGAGACACGACCCAGACUCCUACAGGAGGCAGCAGUGGGGUAUUUCCGCAAUGGACGAAAGCCUGACAGAGUAAUGCCGCAUGGAGAUAGAAGGCCCACGGGUCAUGAACUUCUUUUCUUGGAGAAGAAGCAAUGAUGGUAUCUGAGGAAUAAGCAUCGGCUAACUCUGUGCUAGUAGCCGUGGUAAGAUAGAGGAUGCAAGCAUUAUCCAGAAUAAUUGGGCGUAAAGCGUCUGUAGGUGGCUUUUCAAGUCCGCCAUCAAAUCCCAGGGCUCAACCCUGGACAGGCAGUGGAAACUACCAAGAUGGUGUAUGGUAGGGGCAGAGGGAAUUUCUGGUAGAGCGGUGAAAUGCGUAGAGAUCGGAAAGAACACCAACGGCGAAAGCACUCUGCUGGGCCAACACUGACAUUGAGACGAAAGCUAGGGGAGCAAAUGGGAUUUGAUACCCUAGUAGUCCUAGCCGUAAACAUUGGAUACUAGGCACUGUGCUUAUCGACCCGUAUAGUGUUGUAGCUAACGCGUUAAGUAUCCCGCCUAGACAGUAUGUUCACAAGAAUGAAACUCAAAGGAACUGACUGACACUCUUGCUAACUUAAAGCUACCUUAAAAAAAGAAGAAACUUCUUCUACCAAGACUAGAAAUUGAGCUAGAAAUUUUCUUUAUAAUACCUCGUGAGAAAAGACAAGGCAAAAGAGACUUACCCACUAUAGAAAGGUAAGGAAAAAGAGAAUGAAUGACCUAAUAGAACAGAGGGAAGGCAAGAGCUAUUAUAGCUACUACUACUAUGACUUUAAAGGAAUGCCUAUGAGUCAAAUCUCUUUGAGAGACCCCUUUUGAUAUCAUCCUACUGAGCUUGCUAAUCAGUCGCAUCAAUCCAUUAAGUGGAUUAACCCUCAGGUUGUGACAUUAGUGGCUUGUCGCACUAUCCUCCUCUUAAUGGAGCUCUUAGACAAAGAAAGAAGCUACUUCAAUGACAGCUACUACUCCUAGU